ACUCAAAUGAAUAGACGGGGGCUCGCACAAGCGGUGGAGCAUGUGGUUCAAUUCGAAGCAACGCGAAGAACCUUACCCGGGCUUGACAUGUAUGUAGUAGGAACCUGAAAGGGGGACGACCCGUAGAGUCGGGAGCAUACACAGGUGUUGCAUGGCUGUCGUCAGCUCGUGUCGUGAGAUGUCGGGUUAAGUCCCAUAACGAGCGAAACCCUUGUCCUUAGUUGCCAACGGGUCAUGCCGGGGACUCUAAGGAGACUGCCCGUGUUAAACGGGAGGAAGGCGGGGAUGACGUCAAGUCAUCAUGGCCCUUAUGUCCGGGGCGACACACGUGCCACAAUGGAGGGUACAAAGGGUUGCCAACCCGCAAGGGGGAGCCAAUCCCAAAAAGCCCUUCUCAGUUCGGAUUGCAGGCUGCAAUUCGCCUGCAUGAAGCUGGAAUCGCUAGUAAUCGCGGAUCAGCUACGCCGCGGUGAAUAUGUUCCCGAGCCUUGUACACACCGCCCGU
rnacentral:rRNA from 1 species